UACGGAGGGAGCUAGCGUUGUUCGGAAUUACUGGGCGUAAAGCGUACGUAGGCGGUUAUUCAAGUCAGAGGUGAAAGCCCGGGGCUCAACCCCGGAACGGCCUUUGAAACUAGAUAGCUAGAGUCUUGGAGAGGUUAGUGGAAUUCCGAGUGUAGAGGUGAAAUUCGUAGAUAUUCGGAAGAACACCAGUGGCGAAGGACGACUAACUGGACAAGUACUGACGCUGAGGUACGAAAGCGUGGGGGAGCAAACAGG
rnacentral:rRNA from 1 species